AGUGAACGCUGGCGGUAGGCCUAACACAUGCAAGUCGAACGGCAGCACAGUAAGAGCUUGCUCUUACGGGUGGCGAGUGGCGGACGGGUGAGGAAUACAUCGGAAUCUACUUUUUCGUGGGGGAUAACGUAGGGAAACUUACGCUAAUACCGCAUAUGACCUACGGGUGAAAGCAGGGGAUCUUCGGACCUUGCGCGAUUGAAUGAGCCGAUGUCGGAUUAGCUAGUUGGCGGGGUAAAGGCCCACCAAGGCGACGAUCCGUAGCUGGUCUGAGAGGAUGAUCAGCCAAACUUGAACUGAGACACGGUCCAAACUCCUACGGGAGGCAGCAGUGGGGAAUAUUGGACAAUGGGCGCAAGCCUGAUCCAGCCAUACCGCGUGGGUGAAGAAGGCCUUCGGGUUGUAAAGCCCUUUUGUUGGGAAAGAAAAGCAGCAGGUUAAUACCCCGCUGUUCUGACGGUACCCAAAGAAUAAGCACCGGCUAACUUCGU
rnacentral:rRNA from 1 species